GUCAACCUUGCAUGCUGCGUAGCUCGUAUCGCAACUAAUUACCCCACCCCCAGGCAUUAUGCUCUUCCAUCUUUGCUUGUCUAAAGAUGGUCCCAUUAUGUCAUAAUCCUGUAGGUCUCUAUUAAAAGUCAAAAAUCAUCAACAAAACCAAAACAAGUCAACAACCACAACAACAACAACAAAACAAGGCUGUGGAGAGAAGGCAAUGCUUAUACACUGUUGGUGGGAAUGUAAAUGGAUUCAGCCACUGUGGAAAGCAAAGAAAUUAAAGCUUUUAAUGUCUCAAAGAAUGUAAAACAGAACUACCGUUCGACCCAGAAAUCCCACUACUGAGUAUAUAUCCAAAGGAAAAUAAAUCGUUCUCCCAAAAAGACAUAUACUUUUAUGUUCAUAACAGUGCUGUUUACUAUAGCACAGUAAUUAACCUGGGUGCCCAUCCGUGGUGGAUUGGAUAAAGAAAAUGUGGUACAUAUGCAUGUUGGACUACUAAACACCAUACAAAAGAACAAAAGCAUGUCCUUUGCAGCAAUGUGGAUGCAGCUGGAGGCCAUUAUCCCAAACAAAUUAACACAGGAACAGAAAAACAAAUACUGCAUGUUCUCAUUUAUAAGUGGGAGCUAAACAUUGAGAACUCAUGAACAUAAAUAUGGCAACAAUAGACACUGGGGACUCACAGAAUGCGGAUGAAGGAAGGAAAGCAAGAGUUGCAAACCUAACUUUUGGCCUUUUAAUGAGACUGUCCAGAAUUAUUCUCUUACCGAACAUCUUUUCCUACUCUCAGACCUGCCAUCGUUACAUCUUCCACGAAGGAAAGAAGAGCUGAGAGUCUGACGUAAAGAUCCGCAACAUUUACCAGUAUAUACACCUACAGAGUCAUCUUAGACAGGACCGCUGACACCAGGGAAGCAGGGCCCAUCCAGGCAGAUGCUGGGAUAAAAUAUAAGAUGUGAAGGCCAG
rnacentral:lncRNA from 10 species